rnacentral:rRNA from 1 species
ACGUAGGGAGCGAGCGUUGUCCGGAAUUACUGGGCGUAAAGGGCGCGUAGGCGGGUAAUUAAGUCAGAUGUGAAAGCUCCGGGCUCAACUUGGAGAGUGCAUUUGAAACUGGUUAUCUUGAGGGCAGGAGAGGAAAGUGGAAUUCCUAGUGUGCGUGUUGAAUGCUGGUAUAUGAGUAGGAGCGGCAGAGGCGAUGGAGACAUUCUGAACUACACCUGACGCUUAAGCGCGUGAUCAUGUGGAGGAAACGG